GUAUCUGGAUCGGUCACUCAGGCUCUGGGAAGAGGCUCCAAACUCCAGGGCAGCUGUUGGUAAACUACAGCCCGGAAGGCCGAGUCCUGUAUUCUGAGAACACAGCCGAGCUGCUUCAGUUAUGUAUCGUCAAUGGUUGCUUUAUCAAGAUGGACAGUUGCAACAGAGACCACGUGGCCUGCAAAGUCUGAAACGUUUCCUCUCUCUGUGGAAAAGGUUUGGGAAGCCCUGCUCUAUGCCGUGGCAGGCAGUUUUCUGGGAUGUGGUUCAGGCCUGGCCUGGUCUGUACGUGCUGAGAAGGUAAGGCUGGGCUCCGAAGCCGCAUCUCCAGAAGCUAACGUCCAUCUCAGGUGCUGGAAAUCUGCUUGGUCACGUGUGCGUAGGAGCGCACCACGACCGCGGACUUGUGGCUCCGGUGGUCACAUUAAAUUUAACUCCUUUCCAGGCUUGGAAAUGAGCUGAACCCACUCAGUGCAAGCAUCCUGAAAUCCUCCCUUCCCAUCAUAUUCCUGAGAAACUGGUGAUGUGUUCUUGCCUAAUGAAAGUGAAUCCAUAGUUUGGCAUUGGUACUACUACUUCUUCUCUGCGACUUUGUGCUUAUACUGUGAUUUGUUUUAAAACCCUUUUGCAUUAUUAGACAUUAUUUGCAAUUAUAAAGAUAAAAAGAAACAUUUCAAGUAUUAGCUUAUUUGACCUCUUUGAAAUGAUCACAUUUUCUUCCUCAAAAUUCUUUUGGAUCCACAGCAGCAUUUCAUGUUGUUUCUACCCUGUCCUGGUUGACUGUUCCUUUUCAAUCUCACGUAUGAAGUCCUCUGGCUCUGCUUCUGCUUUAUUCAUUUUAAAAAUAAAUUAUUUAUUUUUGGUA